GAUGAACGCUGGCGGCGUGCCUAAUACAUGCAAGUCGAGCGAACGGACGAGAAGCUUGCUUCUCUGAUGUUAGCGGCGGACGGGUGAGUAACACGUGGAUAACCUACCUAUAAGACUGGGAUAACUUCGGGAAACCGGAGCUAAUACCGGAUGAUAUUUUGAACCGCAUGGUUCAAAAGUGAAAGACGGUCUUGCUGUCACUUAUAGAUGGAUCCGCGCUGCAUUAGCUAGUUGGUAAGGUAACGGCUUACCAAGGCAACGAUGCAUAGCCGACCUGAGAGGGUGAUCGGCCACACUGGAACUGAGACACGGUCCAGACUCCUCCGGGAGGCAGCAGUAGGGAAUCUUCCGCAAUGGUCGAAAGCCUGACGGAGCAACGCCGCGUGAGUGAUGAAGGUCUUCGGAUCGUAAAACUCUGUUAUUAGGGAAGAACAUAUGUGUAAGUAACUGUGCACAUCUUGACGGUACCUAAUCAGAAAGCCACGGCUAACUACGUG
rnacentral:rRNA from 1 species